rnacentral:rRNA from 1 species
CCUACGGGAGGCUGCAUUUUUUCCUCUCGCCCAAUGGGGGGAACCCUGAUCCAGCCAUGCCGCGUGUGUGAAGAAGGCCCUCGGGUUGUAAAGCACUUUCAGUGAGGAAGAACGCCUGGUGGUUAAUACCCAUCAGGAAAGACAUCACUCACAGAAGAAGCACCGGCUAACUCCGUGCCAGCAGCCGCGGUAAUACGGAGGGUGCGAGCGUUAAUCGGAAUUACUGGGCGUAAAGCGCGCGUAGGUGGCUUGAUAAGCCGGUUGUGAAAGCCCCGGGCUCAACCUGGGAACGGCAUCCGGAACUGUCAAGCUAGAGUGCAGGAGAGGAAGGUAGAAUUCCCGGUGUAGCGGUGAAAUGCGUAGAGAUCGGGAGGAAUACCAGUGGCGAAGGCGGCCUUCUGGACUGACACUGACACUGAGGUGCGAAAGCGUGGGUAGCAAACAGGAUUAGAUACCCUGGUAGUC